GUGCUCGCUUCGGCAGCACAUGUACUAACAUUGAUACAGAGAAGAUUAGCAUGGCUCCUGCCCAAGGAUGACAUGCAAGUUUGUGAAGCGUUUAACANUAAA
rnacentral:snRNA from 1 species